rnacentral:rRNA from 1 species
UACAUGGGGUGCAAACGUUGCUCGGAAUUAUUGGGCGUAAAGCGCGCGUAGGCGGUUACUCAAGUCGGAUGUGAAAGCCCUCGGCUUAACUGAGGAAGUGCACCCGAAACUGAGUAGCUAGAGUACUAAAGAGGGUCGCGGAAUUCCCGGUGUAGAGGUGAAAUUCGUAGAUAUCGUAAGGAAGACCAGUGGCGAAGGCGGGUCUCUGGACAGUUCCUGACGCUGAGGCACGAAGGUCAGGGGAGCAAACGGG